GGGUUGUGAGGUUAAGCGACUAAGCGUACACGGUGGAUGCCCUGGCAGUCAGAGGCGAUGAAGGACGUGCUAAUCUGCGAAAAGCGUCGGUAAGGUGAUAUGAACCGUUAUAACCGGCGAUGUCCGAAUGGGGAAACCCAGUGCAAUUCGUUGCACUAUCGUUAACUGAAUACAUAGGUUAACGAGGCGAACCGGGGGAACUGAAACAUCUAAGUACCCCGAGGAAAAGAAAUCAACCGAGAUUCCCCCAGUAGCGGCGAGCGAACGGGGAGCAGCCCAGAGUCUGAAUCAGCUUGUGUGUUAGUGGAACGGUCUGGAAAGUCCGACGGUACAGGGUGAUAGUCCCGUACACCAAAAUGCACAGGUUGUGAACUCGAAGAGUAGGGCGGGACACGUGGUAUCCUGUCUGAAUAUGGGGGGACCAUCCUCCAAGGCUAAAUACUCCUGACUGACCGAUAGUGAACCAGUACCGUGAGGGAAAGGCGAAAAGAACCCCGGCGAGGGGAGUGAAAAAGAACCUGAAACCGUGUACGUACAAGCAGUGGGAGCACCUUCGGGUGUGACUGCGUACCUUUUGUAUAAUGGGUCAGCGACUUAUAUUCUGUAGCAAGGUUAACCGUAUAGGGGAGCCGCAGGGAAACCGAGUCUUAACUGGGCGUUAAGUUGCAGGGUAUAGACCCGAAACCCGGUGAUCUAGCCAUGGGCAGGUUGAAGGUUGGGUAACACUAACUGGAGGACCGAACCGACUAAUGUUGAAAAAUUAGCGGAUGACUUGUGGCUGGGGGUGAAAGGCCAAUCAAACCGGGAGAUAGCUGGUUCUCCCCGAAAGCUAUUUAGGUAGCGCCUCGUGAACUCAUCUUCGGGGGUAGAGCACUGUUUCGGCUAGGGGGUCAUCCCGACUUACCAACCCGAUGCAAACUACGAAUACCGAAGAAUGUUAUCACGGGAGACACACGGCGGGUGCUAACGUCCGUCGUGAAGAGGGAAACAACCCAGACCGCCAGCUAAGGUCCCAAAGUCAUGGUUAAGUGGGAAACGAUGUGGGAAGGCACAGACAGCCAGGAUGUUGGCUUAGAAGCAGCCAUCAUUUAAAGAAAGCGUAAUAGCUCACUGGUCGAGUCGGCCUGCGCGGAAGAUGUAACGGGGCUAAACCAUGCACCGAAGCUGCGGCAGCGACACUAUGUGUUGUUGGGUAGGGGAGCGUUCUGUAAGCCUGCGAAGGUGUGCUGUGAGGCAUGCUGGAGGUAUCAGAAGUGCGAAUGCUGACAUAAGUAACGAUAAAGCGGGUGAAAAGCCCGCUCGCCGGAAGACCAAGGGUUCCUGUCCAACGUUAAUCGGGGCAGGGUGAGUCGACCCCUAAGGCGAGGCCGAAAGGCGUAGUCGAUGGGAAACAGGUUAAUAUUCCUGUACUUGGUGUUACUGCGAAGGGGGGACGGAGAAGGCUAUGUUAGCCGGGCGACGGUUGUCCCGGUUUAAGCAUGUAGGCUGAUUGUCCAGGCAAAUCCGGAUAAUCAAGGCUGAGGUGUGAUGACGAGGCACUACGGUGCUGAAGUAACAAAUGCCCUGCUUCCAGGAAAAGCCUCUAAGCAUCAGGUAACAUCAAAUCGUACCCCAAACCGACACAGGUGGUCAGGUAGAGAAUACCAAGGCGCUUGAGAGAACUCGGGUGAAGGAACUAGGCAAAAUGGUGCCGUAACUUCGGGAGAAGGCACGCUGGUGUGUAGGUGAAGCCCCUGCGGGUGGAGCUGAGACCAGUCGAAGAUACCAGCUGGCUGCAACUGUUUAUUAAAAACACAGCACUGUGCAAACACGAAAGUGGACGUAUACGGUGUGACGCCUGCCCGGUGCCGGAAGGUUAAUUGAUGGGGUUAUCCGUAAGGAGAAGCUCUUGAUCGAAGCCCCGGUAAACGGCGGCCGUAACUAUAACGGUCCUAAGGUAGCGAAAUUCCUUGUCGGGUAAGUUCCGACCUGCACGAAUGGCGUAAUGAUGGCCAGGCUGUCUCCACCCGAGACUCAGUGAAAUUGAACUCGCUGUGAAGAUGCAGUGUACCCGCGGCAAGACGGAAAGACCCCGUGAACCUUUACUAUAGCUUGACACUGAACAUUGAGCCUUGAUGUGUAGGAUAGGUGGGAGGCUUUGAAGCGUGGACGCCAGUCUGCGUGGAGCCAACCUUGAAAUACCACCCUUUAAUGUUUGAUGUUCUAACGUUGGCCCCUGACCGGGGUUGCGGACAGUGUCUGGUGGGUAGUUUGACUGGGGCGGUCUCCUCCCAAAGCGUAACGGAGGAGCACGAAGGUUAGCUAAUCCUGGUCGGACAUCAGGAGGUUAGUGCAAUGGCAUAAGCUAGCUUGACUGCGAGCGUGACGGCGCGAGCAGGUGCGAAAGCAGGUCAUAGUGAUCCGGUGGUUCUGAAUGGAAGGGCCAUCGCUCAACGGAUAAAAGGUACUCCGGGGAUAACAGGCUGAUACCGCCCAAGAGUUCAUAUCGACGGCGGUGUUUGGCACCUCGAUGUCGGCUCAUCACAUCCUGGGGCUGAAGUAGGUCCCAAGGGUAUGGCUGUUCGCCAUUUAAAGUGGUACGCGAGCUGGGUUUAGAACGUCGUGAGACAGUUCGGUCCCUAUCUGCCGUGGGCGCUGGAGAAUUGAGGGGGGCUGCUCCUAGUACGAGAGGACCGGAGUGGACGCAUCACUGGUGUUCGGGUUGUCAUGCCAAUGGCACUGCCCGGUAGCUAAAUGCGGAAGAGAUAAGUGCUGAAAGCAUCUAAGCACGAAACUUGCCCCGAGAUGAGUUCUCCCUGAGACUUUAAGUCUCCUGAAGGAACGUUGAAGACGACGACGUUGAUAGGCCGGGUGUGUAAGCGCAGCGAUGCGUUGAGCUAACCGGUACUAAUGAACCGUGAGGCUUAACCUUACAACGCCGAAG
rnacentral:rRNA from 1 species